rnacentral:rRNA from 1 species
GACGAACGCUGGCGGCGUGCUUAACACAUGCAAGUCGAGCGGAAAGGCCCUUCGGGGUACUCGAGCGGCGAACGGGUGAGUAACACGUGAGUAAUCUGCCCUUGGCUUCGGGAUAGCCACCGGAAACGGUGAUUAAUACCGGAUACGACCACUCCUGGCAUCAGGUGGUGGUGGAAAGUUUUUCGGCCAGGGAUGUGCUCGCGGCCUAUCAGCUUGAUGGUGAGGUAAUGGCUCACCAUGGCUUCGACGGGUAGCCGGCCUGAGAGGGUGACCGGUCACACUGGGACUGAGACACGGCCCAGACUCCUACGGGAGGCAGCAGUGGGGAAUAUUGGACAAUGGGCGGAAGCCUGAUCCAGCAACGCCGCGUGAGGGAUGACGGCCUUCGGGUUGUAAACCUCUUUCAGCAGGGACGAAGCGCAAGUGACGGUACCUGCAGAAGAAGCACCGGCCAACUACGUGCCAGCAGCCGCAGUAA